rnacentral:rRNA from 1 species
GUCCCAGUUCGGACUGUAGUCUGCAACCCGACUACACGAAGCCGGAAUCGCUAGUAAUCGCGGAUCAGAAUGCCGCGGUGAAUACGUUCCCGGGUCUUGUACACACCGCCCGUCACACCAUGGGAGUCGGAAAUGCCCGAAGUCAGUGACCCAACCGGAAGGAAGGAGCUGCCGAAGGUGGAGCCGGUAACUGGGGUGAAGUCGUAACAAGGUAUC